rfam:Ictidomys tridecemlineatus contig096642, whole genome shotgun sequence.
AUCCUUUUCGGGCCAUGAGCAAGAUGACUGGGUGCUCACACUGUUGUGUGGGAUGCGCUUCCCUCUGAACCUUGUUACCACGUGGCAUGUUACCUGCCUGACA